rnacentral:misc_RNA from 3 species
ACACCCUCAAGCCUAGCUUGGUGUUGGGCGUCUGUCCCGCCGUUUUCGCGCGCGGACUCGCCUCAAAGUCAUUGGCGGCGGUCGUGCCGGCCCCCUCGCGCAGCACAUUUGCGCUUCUCGGAGGCCCGGCGGAUCCGCGCUCCAGCAAGACCUUUCACG